UACGUAGGGGGCUAGCGUUGUCCGGAAUCAUUGGGCGUAAAGAGCGUGUAGGCUGCUCGGUAAGUCCGCUGUAAAAGUCAAAGGCUCAACCUUUGAAUGUCAGUGGAUACUGCCGGGCUAGAGUCCGGAAGAGGCGAGUGGAACUCCUGGUGUAGCGGUGGAAUGCGCAGAUAUCAGGAGGAACACCGGUGGCGAAAGCGGCUUCCUGGUCCAGCACCGACGUUCAGGCACGAAAGCAUGGGGAGCAAACAGG
rnacentral:rRNA from 1 species